rnacentral:rRNA from 1 species
UACAGAGGUCUCAAGCGUUGUUCGGAUUCAUUGGGCGUAAAGGGUGCGUAGGCGGCGCGGUAAGUCGGGUGUGAAAUCUUGGAGCUUAACUCCGAAAACUGCAUUCGAUACUGCCGUGCUUGAGGACUGGAGAGGAGACUGGAAUUUACGGUGUAGCGGUGAAAAUGCGUAGAUAUCGUAAGGAAAGACCAGUGGCGAAGGCGGGGUCU